rnacentral:rRNA from 1 species
UACGGAGGGGAGCUAGCGUUGUUCGGAAUUACUGGGCGUAAAGCGCACGUAGGCGGCUUUACUGAUGGUACGGGUCGAAGCGAGCUCAACUCCAGAACUGCCUUCGAUACUGGAGAGCUUGAGUCCGGGAGAGGUGAGUGGAACUGCGAGUGUAGAGGUGAAAUUCGUAGAUAUUCGCAAGAACACCAGUGGCGAAGGCGGCUCAGCUGGCCGGUACUGACG